GGUACAUGCCCGGGCGAACCUCCUCUUCCAGCUCUUUCAGCUGACAUCUGCUCCUCCACAGUAGAUAAUGAAUGCUAAUGUGGGUCAGGACGCUGCUCUGGUUCUGGUUCUGGUUCUGGUUCUGGUUCUGGUGCAGCUCAUUAUUGUGACUCACAGCCACAUGAAUGAGCGGCCCAAGUUUCUGCGUCCGUCCGCUGUGACGUCAUUUCCUCCGUUGUGUUUAU